UGCUCCGUGAGACAAAGGACGAAGGCUAUACUACUUCCAGAAUCCCGAUUUUGAAGCAAUUUGGUGCGCCAUCCAUUUAUCACAAAUGGCUCCUUCUUUUGUGGUCGUUGAGUUCCUUGGUGAACGUUCAGUCGCUGUUGUCCCAACCAAAUGGACAGAAGAUGAUGGAAAGAAUACCUUCUGCUAUUGGCCAAGGCCAAAUCCUAACCACUCCAGAAUCCGUAAAGCUGAGAUUCCUGACAAACAAUACUGGGAGAGGCUGCCAAUUCGGGUUUUCAGGAAAACAUUGACUGGUAAGGGAAUAUUGUCUAAGUCAUAUCAUGUAUAUUUUAAACAACAUAAGUUAAAUUCAUCUUGAGUCAUUGGCAUACUUUGAAAUUUUGCAGAAGACUUUGAC